GUAGUAACCUGUUCGUAGUCAAGGAUAAAUAGUUGGGUAGUGAACGCGGGUCUUGUUUAGAAGUUCUAAGCUUUCGCUAUGCACAAAUUAUCAAAGGUACCCUAGGUAUCUCCUCCGGGUCGAAAUCAUGUAUUUCUACUUGAUUUCCAAGGUUUUCUAUUUCCAUGGGUUGAUCAGGAAUUGGUGGUUGUGGUUGUGGUUGGGGUGCUAGCAUUUACUCCAGGUUUGGGUCAGCUGCAGUGGUUGCUAAAAUAUGGAUAUUGGCUAUACCCCUAUUAAGCAUAUCCUGG
rnacentral:lncRNA from 1 species